CCUACGGGGGGCAGCAGUGAGGAAUAUUGGUCAAUGGACGAGAGUCUGAACCAGCCAAGUAGCGUGAAGGAUGACUGCCCUAUGGGUUGUAAACUUCUUUUAUAAAGGAAUAAAACGAGGCACGUGUGCCUUUUUGCAUGUACUUUAUGAAUAAGGAUCGGCUAACUCCGUGCCAGCAGCCGCGGUAAUACGGAGGAUCCGAGCGUUAUCCGGAUUUAUUGGGUUUAAAGGGAGCGUAGAUGGGUUGUUAAGUCAGUUGUGAAAGGUUGCGGCUCAACCGUAAAAUUGCAAUUGAUACUGGCAGUCUUGAGUACAGUUGAGGUAGGCGGAAUUCGUGGUGUAGCGGUGAAAUGCUUAGAUAUCACGAAGAACCCCGAUUGCGAAGGCAGCUUACUAAACUGUGACUGACAUUGAUGCUCGAAAGUGUGGGUAUCAAACAGGAUUAGAUACCCGGUAGU
rnacentral:rRNA from 1 species